rnacentral:rRNA from 1 species
AGACGUCUACAUUAGAUACCCCUGUAGUCCCAGCCGUAAACUAUGCGCGUUAGGUGUAUCGGUGACCACGAGUUACCGAGGUGCCGAAGGGAAACCGUGAAACGUGCCGCCUGGGAAGUACGGUCGCAAGGCUGAAACUUAAAGGAAUUGGCGGGGGAGCACCGCAACGGGAGGAGCGUGCGGUUUAAUUGGAUUCAACACCGUAAAACUCACCAGGGAAGACUGUUACAUGAAGGCCGAGAUGAAGACUCUGCUAGAUUUUCAG